rnacentral:rRNA from 1 species
UGCAGUCGAGGGGUAACAGGGAGCUUGCUCCGCUGACGACCGGCGCACGGGUGCGCAACGCGUAUACAAUCUGCCUUAUGCUGAGGGAUAGCCCAGAGAAAUUUGGAUUAAUACCUCAUGGUAUCGAGAGACGGCAUCGUUUUUUGAUUAAAGGUCACGGCAUAAGAUGAGUAUGCGUCCCAUUAGCUAGUUGGUGUGGUAACGGCACACCAAGGCUACGAUGGGUAGGGGUCCUGAGAGGGAGAUCCCCCACACUGGUACUGAGACACGGACCAGACUCCUACGGGAGGCAGCAGUGAGGAAUAUUGGACAAUGGGCGGAAGCCUGAUCCAGCCAUGCCGCGUGCAGGAAGACGGUCCUAUGGAUUGUAAACUGCUUUUAUACGGGAAGAAUAAGGGCUACGUGUAGCCUGGUGACGGUACCGUAAGAAUAAGGAUCGGCUAACUCCGUGCCAGCAGCCGCGGUAAUACGGAGGAUCCAAGCGUUAUCCGGAAUCAUUGGGUUUAAAGGGUCCGUAGGCGGACUAUUAAGUCAGGGGUGAAAGUCUGCAGCUCAACUGUAGAAUUGCCUUUGAUACUGGUAGUCUUGAGUUAUGGUGAAGUGGCUAGAAUAUGUAGUGUAGCGGUGAAAUGCAUAGAUAUUACAUAGAAUACCGAUUGCGAAGGCAGGUCACUAACCAUAUACUGACGCUGAUGGACGAAAGCGUGGGGAGCGAACAGGAUUAGAUACCCUGGUAGUCCACGCCGUAAACGAUGGAUACUAGCUGUCCGGGCGCAAGCCU